rnacentral:rRNA from 1 species
GACGAACGCUGGCGGCGUGCCUAAUACAUGCAAGUUGAGCGAUGAAGCUUGGUGCUUGCCCCAAUUUGAAGAGCAGCGAACGGGUGAGUAACGCGUGGGGAAUCUGCCUUUGAGCGGGGGACAACAUUUGGAAACGAAUGCUAAUACCGCAUAAUAACUUUAAACAUAAGUUUUAAGUUUGAAAGAUGCAAUUGCAUCACUCAAAGAUGAUCCCGCGUUGUAUUAGCUAGUUGGUGAGGUAAAGGCUCACCAAGGCGAUGAUACAUAGCCGACCUGAGAGGGUGAUCGGCCACAUUGGGACUGAGACACGGCCCAAACUCCUACGGGAGGCAGCAGUAGGGAAUCUUCGGCAAUGGACGAAAGUCUGACCGAGCAACGCCGCGUGAGUGAAGAAGGUUUUCGGAUCGUAAAACUCUGUUGGUAGAGAAGAACGUUGGUGAGAGUGGAAAGCUCAUCAAGUGACGGUAACUACCCAGAAAGGGACGGCUAACUACGU